CUGGUCUUAGUAACAAUCCAAGCAAUCAAAUUUCUCAAAUGUCAUUUUUUUGCUGACUUUUUAAAACAAACAAGCAAACCUUCACUUCUGACCACUCUGUGGGUCAAUGACCUAAUAACUGAGAAAGUAGGUCGGACUUCAGAAAUUCAGUAAUGUUGGUAAAUGUAUUUUCCCUUAUAUAGUAUUUAAUCUACUGAUUAUGCAGAAAUAUUUUUCUCUUGUUCAAUUAAUAUUUCAAAAUGUUUUACUUACUAGUAAAAUUGCUGAUUUUGCUCACAUGAGGAUUUUUUUAUAGAUCACUCCUAUAAAUAGCAAAGAUGCUAAUUUUUGGACUGCAACUGUAUGAACUUGUUCAGAAAGUAUUUUCUGCUGUGAUCUAUUCCAUUAGAAAUCUGUUUUGUUCUUUUUCAUUUACAUCUGUUGACCAGCACUAACCUUUAUAUUAUGCCCUCUCAAGCAUACAAGGUUCUACAAAGCUUUGGACAGAGUUCAUGUGUUUCUGGUGAAAAGCAACAUAUCUUAGAGCAUUCAAAUAACAUACAAUAUGUUUUUAUUUAAUGCAAGGAGAUGCAAGGAGAAAAAAAAAUAGCAACAAAACAUGUUGACCUCUCUCCAGUAAGUUUUCUCAAGAACAUUGCAAAAUACAUGUGAACUCCCUUGGCCUAUUCAGCCUUUCCAGAUGCAUCAUUCUCCUGGGUAGCUAGACAGAUGCAGAGUUAAGUGGGAGUGCAGAUAAGCAUGUUGGAUACCAAUGCUGUACUGAGAUACAUAGGCCUCCAUAAAGUAAGUAUGGCUAUAAUUGAACUGAAGAUUGCUCCAGCCCAUGAUCAUCUUGUCUGUGCCCUUGUGGACAUGUGGAAGAGUAAAGAAGUCCAUAGUCAGAUCCAGUUUUCUUAAAAUUGGUAACCCAAUACUGACACAAAAACCAAUCCUGUCUGUGGGGACCCUAGAUUUGCCUUACUUCUUCUCCUCCUGGAAGAUGAACGCUAAAUCUUGAAGAAAAAUGAAUGCAGCAGAUUGUGGAAGCUGUGCACUGAGAUAUAGGAAAGGAAAUCUUUCAUGAUGUAGGCGACUCCGAUAUUGCUUAGCAAAUGAGAAAUGAAUAAUCAACACCUUAUAUUAUGCCUCAAAAAUAUGAUAUCUAAGGGCUGAGCAAUGGGUUUCCCACGGCUUCAGGUUAAGGCAGGUUUUUAAAAACUGAGGUUUUCAAGUGAGAGCAGGGAAAUUAUCAUUCCAUGUCUGUGGAAUAUCAGGUACUAAAUAGGAAACUCAUAAUCUUCAUGCUGCCCUACAUACCCUUCAAAGCAGGGUUGGAGCUCACCUACUUUCACACAACUGAAAACAGCCACUCUAAAAAGAAUACUCUGUGGUUAUAAAUCUGCACAACCCCCGACAUAACACUACCUCCUGUUUUCAGGAAGGUGCUCUUGAGCAGCAGGAACCUCUUUUUCCACUGUAUGAGACACAAAUUCAAAUUCUUUUCCAGGUGCAUCUGAGAACCUACUAACGUGCAACAGUUGCUGCAGUUUGUCUCAGGGACCAUUGAAAUAAGAAUGGGGUAGUCCCUAGUUCCUCUGCAUUAUUUGUUAUGGAUCAGAGCACUGCUGAUGUUUUUGUCAUACCACACUAUGUAAAAUUCAUGCUGGGUUCAUCAUGACUGCAGAAGACUAUACUAUGUGCCGCAAAGCCUGUGGUUACAGCAUUAGCAUGGUAACACUCUUUAUAUAAACUGCACCCAGCAGCAUGAGUUUCCACUGUAUCUCAGCUUUUCAGUGUGUGGCAUUCCUGGUCCAGAUGAGGAGCACUGCAGCUGGAUCCAGCUGGACCAUGGCCUGAUCUAUCAGCUUAACUAAUCUAAUGCUGAAAUAAAUACACUGGCAUAGUAAAUAUAUGUAUGCA
ensembl:lncRNA